rnacentral:rRNA from 1 species
UACAGAGGGUGCGAGCGUUAAUCGGGAUUACUGGGCGUAAAGCGCGCGUAGGCGGCUUUGCAAGUCGGGUGUGAAAUCCCCAGGCUUAACCUGGGAACUGCAUUCGAGACUGCAUUGCUAGAGUAUGGGAGAGGGAAGUGGAAUUUCCGGUGUAGCGGUGAAAUGCGUAGAUAUCGGAAGGAACAUCAGUGGCGAAAGCGACUUCCUGGACCAAUACUGACGCUCAUGUGCGAAAGCGUGGGGAGCAAAUAGG